rnacentral:rRNA from 1 species
UCAGUGAUGGAUCCAUUGAUGGCAUCUACAGUUACUUGGAUAACGUGGUAAUUCUAGAGCUAAUACAUGCAAACAGAGCCCCGACCACUCGUUGGAAGGGGUGCUUUUAUUAGAUCAAAACCAAUCAGGCUGUAAUGGCUUGUUCGGCUUGGUGACUCUGAAUAACUUUUGGCUGAUCGCACGGUCUUGUACCGGCGACGCAUCUUUCAAAUGUCUGACUUAUCACACUUUCGAUGGUAGGCUCUGCGCCUACUAUGGUUGUAACGGGUAACGGGGAAUCAGGGUUCGAUUCCGGAGAGGGAGCCUGAGAAACGGCUACCACAUCCAAGGAAGGCAGCAGGCGCGCAAAUUACCCACUCCCAGCACGGGGAGGUAGUGACGAAAAAUAACGAUGCAGAACUCAAUCCGAGGCUCUGCAAUCGGAAUGAG